AUUUUAAGUUGCAACAUUAAACCGCUGCCCUGUAUGGAACUGCUACCAACUUGCUCUCACCAAAUGUCAAAUACUCAUAAGGAACAGAGGACUUUAAAUUUUCCAUAUAGUUUAAGAUCAAAUAAAGCACAGAAACGAUUGAAAAACAAGUCUAGCACCUAGAAGAAAUGAGGAGAUGGAAAGCUGGUUGAAUUAAGAGGAAGUCUGAGUGAGACACUUGUUAUUCAUGGGAAAAACAUAAUACUAGGUUUUAUGGAUGACAGGCUGUAAGUACGUGUUUGAAAGUGCACGUUUGAAAUAGAACUAUCCUACAACCCAGCAACUGCACUAUGAGGACAAAUGGAUUACUUAACUGAUGAUGGUAGGGGGCCAGAGUGAGAAAAGGAAACAUGUCCGAAGUGACCCUGUAUCUUCUUCACUCUGUCCACAGUUUACCGACCAAAGUAUGCAGAAAAGGAAAGCAGUGGUAAACAAGUCCUUCAGCUUUUGAUUAUGCACGACAAGCAGCUGGAAACUCACCAUCAGCAUGAGAGGCAGCUUCAGGACAACUGAGACUUUCCCUGUACUCAACUUCUACAUGUUGGAUCUAGACAAUGUUUGCAUAUCUCUCAGUCUAAAGAUACAUUCUAUUCUUAUCCGAGUUUAACAGAUGGGGGAAAAUGGGCACAGAGAGACUAUAUAAUUUGCCUAAGGACUCACACAAGUGUCAGACCUGAAUUUGAACCUAGACUCACCCCUAAAGUCCAGAGGCUACACUUUCUAGCUUCAUGAUGAAUACUGAAAAUGUCCCAUUGAUUCAAUUUAUAUUAAACCACUUAUUUAUGUAAUUCAUUUCUUAUUCAUUUUCCAAAUUUUCCCUGCAUGUUAUUAUUUAUCACUAACUCUCUACUCUGUCUUGCUACUGACUUCAAGAACAAAGCCAUUCCUAUUCCCUUGGCCUGUAAAAUAAGAACAUGCAUCUCCAUUUCCCUCACUUAUUCUAAUCCUACCCACCCUUCAAGUGCUGGCUUAAUGUCACCACCUGCAGGGACUCCUCCCAGCUACUUGUCAGCAAAGAAGUCUCUCUUCUCCAACUUCCUUCAGGCAAUGGAAACAAAUACCUUACUCACUCUUGCCAAAUAAUUACCUUUAAUAUCUGGAUUCUCAGUUUGACUGCAAUCUCACCUACAAAGUAACUGAUAGUGCCCCUGUAGGCCUAUAGCAAGAGUUCAACAGCUGAACAGCUUCAAAAGAUGACUCUAAUACCUUACAGACUCUUCCCUUUAUUUUUAAAAUGUUUUAUGGUGAAAGAUGCGCCCAUAACCUACUUGUAAUCUGGAAUACACAAAUUAUUCUGAAACCCA